AAGGAAGGACUGAAGACAAAAGAAACUAUGGGCUGCUCUCUCUUUCCCUUUCUUUCUAUGUCACCAUUUUCACUUAAGUGGUUGGUCGAUACAAGGAAUUAACACUAAUGCUAUGUGCAAAUGGGAUAGGAAGAAAUGGCAGCAUGCAUUAUGCACACCUCUCCUCUGCUCAGACACUCCCUUGCACCAUAUUUGCUUGUCUAAUGAUGUACUUGCUUAGAAGUUCCAGGGGCUAAUCUUGAAAUAAACCAGGCAUAGAGAUCCAGUUGUGGAAGUCUCCCCCACCUAGAAAUUGCCUCAAGGUGGUUAAUCUUCAACCCAACCAUUGUCAAAAUGGCCCCAGUUCAUUCUACAGGUGGACAACAACUCAAGAUAGCCAUUGGAGCAAGAUAUGCCGACCUCCACCCUGCACCACUCCCACAUGCUUCCCAUACCAAGUUUCCCUUCCCAACCCCCUUCGCUUAGCCUGAAAAUUUGAGAUGGUUCUUUGAGACCUAAGUCCAGCCAUUCUUCUCAAUGGCUAGCCUUUGAAUAAAACUGCUUUCCUCCA
rnacentral:lncRNA from 1 species